rnacentral:lncRNA from 1 species
UCUAUCACAGGCCCCUAACUCAUCUCCAUCUCCCACCGGACUGUUUCCAUGGCUUCCCAUCAUCCCGAAACUACCAAACCUUCCGGGACUUCCUAACAUUCCAAAAUUCCCUAACAUCCCAGGCCUCCCUCCCCUCCCGGGACUCCCUCGCCUACCAGACCUCCCUCCCCUCCCUCCCCUCCCGGGCCUCCCUAGCCUACCUGGACUGCCUCCUCUACCGCCAUACUAGUCACUAAUCAGUAGUUAUGUCAGACGAAAUGGAGUAGUGGUUGAUCAAAGCUGUGCCGUCCCCGAUAUUUUAAUGGCUUAAAGCAUUAGAAAAUGUGGCCUUCUUAUAAUAAAAUAAAAUUUAACAUAUUAUUUAAAAUUAGAAAUGAAAAAAACUAUAAUAUAUCAAUACAAUUUUAUUUCUGAAAAACAGAUCUUGUAGCUUUUCUUCCAGAAAAUAUGUUUAUAAUCUUUUCGUAGCCAAGUUUAUCAAACUUUCAAUAGAUAUCAUUGAUAACCCAUUAAACCUCUCUUGUGACAUGGUAGAUCGUAGAUAAUUUUCUUUCAAUUUCAAUAUGGAAAAAAUAUUUCCGCAGUGGCAACAUAACCCCGGUUUGUAAACAAUAUUCGUUAAGCAAUCCAUGAAUAAUCCAG